GAUCCUGGCUCAGGAUGAACGCUAGCUACAGGCUUAACACAUGCAAGUCGAGGGGCAGCAUGGUCUUAGCUUGCUAAGGCCGAUGGCGACCGGCGCACGGGUGAGUAACGCGUAUCCAACCUGCCUUACACUCUUGGACAGCCUUCUGAAAGGGAGAUUAAUACAAGAUGUUAUCAUGAGUAAGCAUUUUCACAUGAUUAAAGGUUUACCGGUGUAAGAUGGGGAUGCGUUCCAUUAGAUAGUAGGCGGGGUAACGGCCCACCUAGUCUUCGAUGGAUAGGGGUUCUGAGAGGAAGGUCCCCCACAUUGGAACUGAGACACGGUCCAAACUCCUACGGGAGGCAGCAGUGAGGAAUAUUGGUCAAUGGACGAGAGUCUGAACCAGCCAAGUAGCGUGAAGGAUGAAGGUUCUAUGGAUUGUAAACUUCUUUUAUACGGGAAUAAACGAAUCCACGCGUGGAUUUUUGCAUGUACCGUAUGAAUAAGGAUCGGCUAACUCCGUGCCAGCAGCCGCGGUAAUACGGAGGAUCCGAGCGUUAUCCGGAUUUAUUGGGUUUAAAGGGAGCGUAGAUGGGUUGUUAAGUCAGUUGUGAAAGUUUGCGGCUCAACCGUAAAAUUGCAAUUGAUACUGGCAGUCUUGAGUACAGUUGAGGUAGGCGGAAUUCGUGGUGUAGCGGUGAAUGCU
rnacentral:rRNA from 1 species